GUGAGGUGCUGUGAGAUGGGAGGGAUCCAACUGCUGGAGGAAAGAGCCGACUUGCAUCACCACGAAAACACUGAGCACAGACCAGCCUUCGAAGGCAAAUAUUUGGCUAAAACCUUGGUGCUUCUUGUUGAGUCUACCUGACUGAUGCCAUCCUUGAAAGACAGGAAGAAGACAUUUCUGGGCAAGGUGACAGACUGUGGCUUUGUUAACUGUCUCUUCAUAUGCAGGAACCUUAGAAGGAAAGAACUUACCAGUUUGGGUGAGAGUAGGAGUCGUCAGCUCUAUCCAAGGACAUGGCCUACAGCUGGAGAAAUAAAAA